GUACCCUCCCAUGGAAUUUGUACCUAGCGAAUAUCGCAUUGGUCUUCGGCACAGCAUAUGCUUCAAAACGAUCGUAGUAUGUUUUCAGUACCUUUGAUUCAGCCUCGAGGACCCGUGAACAUGAGCUCCACAUGCUGUUUGUACUUACGCCAUGCAUCGG